rnacentral:rRNA from 1 species
AGAGUUUGAUCCUGGCUCAGAGUGAACGCUGGCGGCAGGCCUAACACAUGCAAGUCGAACGGCAGCGGGUCGUAGCAAUACGAUGCCGGCGAGUGGCGGACGGGUGAGGAAUACAUCGGAAUCUACCUUGUCGUGGGGGAUAACGUAGGGAAACUUACGCUAAUACCGCAUACGAACUAUGGUUGAAAGCGGCGGACCGCAAGGCGUCGCGCGAUUGGAUGAGCCGAUGUCCGAUUAGCUAGUUGGCGGGGUAAAGGCCCACCAAGGCGACGAUCGGUAGCUGGUCUGAGAGGAUGAUCAGCCACACUGGAACUGAGACACGGUCCAGACUCCUACGGGAGGCAGCAGUGGGGAAUAUUGGACAAUGGGGGCAACCCUGAUCCAGCCAUGCCGCGUGUGUGAAGAAGGCCUUCGGGUUGUAAAGCACUUUUGUCCGGAAAGAAAAGCUCUGGGUUAAUACCCCGGGGUCAUGACGGUACCGGAAGAAUAAGCACCGGCUAACUUCGUGCCAGCAGCCGCGGUAAUACGAAGGGUGCAAGCGUUACUCGGAAUUACUGGGCGUAAAGCGUGCGUAGGUGGUUCGUUAAGUCUGUCGUGAAAGCCCCGGGCUCAACCUGGGAAUGGCGAUGGAUACUGGCGGGCUAGAGUGCGGUAGAGGAGAGUGGAAUUCCCGGUGUAGCAGUGAAAUGCGUAGAGAUCGGGAGGAACAUCAGUUGCGAAGGCGGCUCUCUGGACCAGCACUGACACUGAGGCACGAAAGCGUGGGGAGCAAACAGGAUUAGAUACCCNNGUAGUCC